GACGAACGCUGGCGGCGUGCUUAACACAUGCAAGUCGAACGGAAAGGCCCUGCUUUUGUGGGGUGCUCGAGUGGCGAACGGGUGAGUAACACGUGAGUAACCUGCCCUUGACUUUGGGAUAACUUCAGGAAACUGGGGCUAAUACCGGAUAGGAGCUCCUGCUGCAUGGUGGGGGUUGGAAAGUUUCGGCGGUUGGGGAUGGACUCGCGGCUUAUCAGCUUGUUGGUGGGGUAGUGGCUUACCAAGGCUUUGACGGGUAGCCGGCCUGAGAGGGUGACCGGCCACAUGGGGACUGAGAGACGGCCCAGACUCCUACGGGAGGCAGCAGGGGGGAAUAUUGCACAAUGGGCGGAAGCCUGAGGCAGCAACGCCGCGUGCGGGAUGACGGCCUUCGGGUUGUAAACCGAUUUCGCCUGUGACGAAGCGUGAGUGACGGUAAUGGGUAAAGAAGCACCGGCUAACUACGUG
rnacentral:rRNA from 1 species